CAGUGGGGAAUUUUGGACAAUGGGGGCAACCCUGAUCCAGCCAUCCCGCGUGUGCGAUGAAGGCCUUCGGGUUGUAAAGCACUUUUGGCAGGAAAGAAACGGCUCUGGUUAAUACCUGGGGCAACUGACGGUACCUGCAGAAUAAGCACCGGCUAACUACGUGCCAGCAGCCGCGGUAAUACGUAGGGUGCAAGCGUUAAUCGGAAUUACUGGGCGUAAAGCGUGCGCAGGCGGUUCGGAAAGAAAGGUGUGAAAUCCCCGGGCUUAACCUGGGAACGGCACUUUUAACUACCGGGCUAGAGUGUGUCAGAGGGAGGUGGAAUUCCGCGUGUAGCAGUGAAAUGCGUAGAGAUGCGGAGGAACACCGAUGGCGAAGGCAGCCUCCUGGGACAACACUGACGCUCAUGCACGAAAGCGUGGGGAGCAAACAGGAUUAGA
rnacentral:rRNA from 1 species